UAAGCGGAGGAAAAGAAACUAACAAGGAUUCCCCUAGUAACGGCGAGUGAAGCGGGAAGAGCUCAAAUUUGAAAUCUGGCAGUCUUCGAUUGUCCGAGUUGUAAUCUAUAGAGGCGUUUUCCGUGCCGGACCGUGUCAAGUCUCCUGGAAAGGAGUAUCAAAGAGGGUGAUAAUCCCGUACUUAACACGACCACCGGUGCUCUGUGAUACGUCUUCUACGAGUCGAGUUGUUUGGGAAUGCAGCUCAAAAUGGGUGGUGAAUUCCAUCUAAAGCUAAAUAUUGGCGAGAGACCGAUAGCGAACAAGUACCGUGAGGGAAAGAUGAAAAGCACUUUGGAAAGAGAGUUAAACAGUACGUGAAAUUGUUGAAAGGGAAACGAUUGAAGUCAGUCGUGUUCUUUGGAUUCAGCCAGUUCUGCUGGUCUACUUCCUUGGAACGGGUCAACAUCAGUUUUGUCCGGUGGAUAAAGGUAGUAGGAAUGUGACUUCUCCGGAAGUGUUAUAGCCUAUUAUCACAUACACUGGGUGAGACUGAGGACUGCAGCUCGCCUUUAUGGCCGGCCUUCGGGCACGUUCGAGCGGUUAGGAUGUUGACAUAAUGGUUAAACGACCCGUCUUGAAACACG
rnacentral:rRNA from 1 species